CAAACAUAGUGGCGGACGGGUGAGUAACGCGUGAACAAUCUGCCCUAUACAAAGGAAUAGCCUCGGGAAACUGGGAUUAAAACCAUAUAACACUUUUAGGCCGCAUGGCUUGGAAGUCAAAUUGAUUAAGAGGUAUAGGAUGAGUUCGCGUCUGAUUAGCUAGUUGGUGAGGUAAUGGCUCACCAAGGCGACGAUCAGUAGCCGGCCUGAGAGGGUGAACGGCCACACUGGAACUGAGACACGGUCCAGACUCCUACGGGAGGCAGCAGUGGGGAAUAUUGCACAAUGGGCGAAAGCCUGAUGCAGCAACGCCGCGUGAGUGAUGAAGGCCUUCGGGUCGUAAAGCUCUGUCAGGGGGGAAGAAAAUGACGGUACCCAAGGAGGAAGCCCCGGCUAACUACGUGCCAGCAGCCGCGGUAAUACGUAGGGGGCAAGCGUUAUCCGGAUUUAUUGGGUUUAAAGGGUGCGUAGGCGGCUUUUUAAGUCAGUGGUGAAAUCCUGCCGCUUAACGGUAGAAUUGCCAUUGAUACUGAAAAGCUUGAGUACAUUUGAGGUAAGCGGAAUGUGUAGUGUAGCGGUGAAAUGCUUAGAUAUCACACAGAAUAUCAAUUGCGAAGGCAGCUCACAAAGCCAUUAUUGACGCUGAGGCACGAAAGUGUGGGGAUCAAACAGGAUUAGAUACCCUGGUAGUCCACACCGUAAACGAUGAUAACUCGCUGUCGGCGAUAAACAGUCGGUAGCCAAGCGAAAGCGAUAAGUUAUCCACCUGGGGAGUACGACCGCAAGGUUGAAACUCAAAGGAAUUGACGGGGGCCCGCACAAGCGGAGGAACAUGUGGUUUAAUUCGAUGAUACGCGAGGAACCUUACCUGGGCUUAAAUGUAGGCUGCAUUCGGCUGAAAGGCUGAUUCCCUUCGGGGCUGCUUACAAGGUGCUGCAUGGUUGUCGUCAGCUCGUGCCGUGAGGUGUCGGCUUAAGUGCCAUAACGAGCGCAACCCUUGUCGUUAGUUGCCAUCAAGUAAUGUUGGGGACUCUAGCGAGACUGCCACCGUAAGGUGUGAGGAAGGGGGGGAUGACGUCAAAUCAGCACGGCCCUUACGUCCGGGGCGACACACGUGUUACAAUGGUAGGUACAGAGGGCCGCUAUCCAGCGAUGGAAUGCGAAUCUCAAAAACCUAUCUCAGUUCGGAUCGGAGUCUGCAACUCGACUCCGUGAAGUUGGAUUCGCUAGUAAUCGCGCAUCAGCCAUGGCGCGGUGAAUACGUUCCCGGGCCU
rnacentral:rRNA from 1 species